GUUCAGGUCCGAUGUAGGAAGGUGAAGAGCUUGAACUGGACUUAAUACAGAGGCUCUGUUCCAAAUACAUAGUGAGCUGCCUAUAUAGAGAGUGUCUUGUGAAGGAUUUGCUGCCUAUGCAAGACAGCAUUCUAGGUUUGGGAACAGAGCUGCUAUGAUCAGUUUUUAGCUAUUCAAGCUGGAUUUUUUUAUUAAACUAACAAGUAAUUGGUCAUACCACCAACGUUCCUCAUCACAUUCUUUCCUCAGCUGGGGAAAAUGGUCAGAUAUUAAAUGAAUGGUGCUCGAGUGGAUUUUCUGACAACUUUCCAGCUGAGAGUGGAACCCUACAAAGGGAUCAUGGACGACACGGCCGCAAACAAUUAUCAGGUUUAACUGCAGUGGAAAUACGGAAAUGCUGCAGGGAUCUGGGAUGUCGUGGGGGCGAAUUGGGGCUAGUGGAGCGGAGACGUGCGGAGGAAAAGGAAUCUGUGGCAUCGAGACGAUGGUGGAGCAGCCGCAGGGAGUCGGAGACGACACGGCCCUCAACGACAUGCGCAUGUACUGCUGUGAUUGAACUGAUUGGUGGUGCUUUCAGAAACAAAUGUGACCCUGGAGCACACAGUCUUAAGUCGCUGGGGUAUAUUUGUAGCAAUAGCUAAAAAAAAAAAAAACAUUGUAUGGGUCAAAAUUAU